CGGCCUGCGCCUGCUGGGGCGAGACGAAGUGGACAUGCGCGUCGAUGCCGCCCGCGGUGAGGAUCAGGUGUUCGCCGGAAAUGGCGUCGGUUCCCGGGCCGAGCGCAAGGCCCCGCGUCACGCCCGGCAUGGUGGCCGGAUUGCCGGCCUUGCCGAUCCCGACGAUCAGGCCGUCCUUGAUGCCAAGAUCGGCCUUGAUGACGCCGAGCACCGCAUCGACGAUCGUGACAUUGGUGAUGACCAGAUCCGGCGCGCCCGCCGCGCUGGUCAACUCGUUGUCGUAACCCAUGCCAUCUCG
rnacentral:sRNA from 1 species